UACAUGUGGUGCAAGCGUCGUUCGGAAUUACUGGGCAUAAAGGGUGCGUAGGCGGUGUCGUAAGUCUGGUGUGAAAUCCCGUGGCCUAACCAUGGGUCGGCCUUGGAUACUGCGGCACUUGAGUGCGUGAGGGGUGAUCGGAACGCGUGGUGUAGCGGUGAAAUGCGUAGAUAUCACGCGGAAGGCCAACGGCGAAGGCAGAUCACUGGUGCGCAACUGACGCUGAGUGCACGAAAGCGUGGGGAGCAAACAGG
rnacentral:rRNA from 1 species